UUUGUACAAAUAAUUGAUUUCACAUUUUACGUUAAUCAGCUUUGACAGAUCAUGUACCCAAAGUAUUAUAAGUAGUGUUGUCCUUUGAUAUCGAUAACAUAAUAUUAUGUUUGAAUGUAACAUCUACAUGUUGCGUUAUUCUAUUCACGUUUAAUUUAUUUUUCGACCUGUUUCCGAUUUGGAUGAAGAUUACAUAAAGAUAUUGUAUUUUCCAGAUUUCCUAAAUAUCCUAAUUUACGAAACAAGAAAUUAAGAAACAAUUAGAUUCAGACCAUGAAACGAGAUAAUUCUCUCUUCUGAAGGACGCCUUCUCCUUAUUUAAGCCUGUGCUAAUUACAUUUCGAUGUAUCUUGCUUUCUAUCGAGCAGGAUACCAAACAAAAAUAUUACAUAGAGAUGCAGUACCAACAAUAUUCACUCACAUAUCUCACAUAAGGUAAAGUUAUAACGACCAGAGCCGACACUAUACACUUCUAAAGAAAGUGAACAAGAGGAAAUAUUUUUUUUUUAUCACCAAAAGUCGGAAUUGUUCAGUGCUUCGUAGUCAUUGUAUUCUAACUAUAUUGAAUAAAAAUCUUAUAAAGAA